GCUUUGUCUGACUCUUUACCUUUACACACAGAGGAACAAUCAACUUCAUAUUCUGAGUCACUGUCUUUGCCUAACUUCUUUUUACCUUCAAAAUCAACUGAAAAGGAACAAUCAAAUUUUUUUACAGGUGAAACCCUCAUACUCAAGAGUUCAAAAAAAAAAAAGAAAACAAAAGAAGUACAAAAAAAAACUAUGAUUGAAGCCCUUGGACCAGAGAAGUUACUUAAAAAUCAGUUUCCUAUGGAAG
rnacentral:lncRNA from 1 species